GUCGGGCUGGGCCCACUCUCUCCUGCUUGUAGCUACUUUUCAUUUGAAUACUAUGUUCUUACCAUCAUCCCCCCUGCCAAACUGCAUAUUGUUAUUUAUUGCCUACUAGAAAACUUCACUGAAGAAAUGGAUAUGCUUCUGUCAACCAUCCCUGGUUACGGCUUGCCACUUGUCUUCCUCAGGGCCAAACCUCCUACAAAGGAAGGUGAUACUGUCACAUCACAUGACCUGGCCUCCUGACCUAAACACAGUAGAAAUUGUUUUGGAGGAGUUUGACCAGCGACUGAAGGAUGGAAGAUCGGCAGGAGUGGAGGCAGAUGGGCGCACACAUGUGGAAACUACGCAGAGUCUUUAUAUUUACUGCCGUUUUGUCCCUUGUGGUAGGAUGGUACCCCUGUAACCAGAGGGGAAUGGUAGAUUCCAAUUAGAGGGGUGGGGACAAGGGUUUAUAAGAUGGUGGAAGGGUUAGGUUUUUUUGGGUCCAGCUACUUGUGUGCUCUCGGAGUUGGAGAUCCUCAGCUGUGUGGGGACUAAAGGCUGCAGUUAAGUCUGUUGCAUGUACUUUCUUUUGUUUGAUAGUUAUUUGUAUUAGUUCUCUUUUGAGGUUUUUUUUUCUUUAUUUUUCUUCUUGUUUUUGGUGUGCUUAAUGGGAGGAGCCAGAACAUGACAUGAGGUGAAAAUAAAUCUCCGAUCCCAAAUUUU